CCGGUCUACGCUCUCAAGAGUUGCCGCGCCUGAACGUUUACUCGUGAAAAGUGACACACAAACCAAGGCCAAACUAAAAAACAAAACAUGCAAAAGUGAUCCCUCAUGUUUGGGAACCAUUUAAUAACGAGCCUCAGGUCUUGGCUGAACUAGGUAAUGAGGAUUGCGAUGAGCAAAACUGGCAGCCGUACCCUCCCGCAAACUGAAAAUGAUGUGGGAAAGAAGACAUUAGGAAAUUAUCCCUUAUUAAAUAGGUCAUGCGUUUAUUCUGCUAUGUGCUUUGCAGGGAAGGAAUAUGAACCUCUGAAAAGAUCUGAGGGGAAUCUCAUUGAAGAGUUGCUGCACUCUGAUGAGACUUCAUUUUUCUGGAAAAAAAAAAGUCAGUUGAUAAAGCACACUCCACCUAACAGUUGCUGAUAGGAUAUCUUUAAAGAAGGAAUCUGGGGGCUAGUUAUAAACACCUUGGUGGAGUAUGAGUAGUUAGAUACUGUGGAACAACAGAAAAGCUUCCUAGAAAUGUAACUCCAGGUCAGCUUCCAAAUCUCCUUUAUUGUUGGAAAACAAAGGUUUAUAAAAUCACUUGGAUUUAUGAAACCUGAUUUCACCCACUGAAGGAAGAGAAUGGAUUCACCAAGGCCAAGAAAGGCUUUUAGCAUUGGUUAUGAGUAAAUUUCUCUAAGGAGUCAAAAGUUCACAAAUUUUCAGAAUUUAGUUUAAUGAGUAAGAAUUUCUUGGGUUUGUAAGUGAUAGCACAAGACCUGGAGCCUCCACACUGCUGUUUUGGUUAGAGGGAGUCCUGUGGAAUGUCUGGGAAUCCCUGAGAACUCACUGUAGUUGAUAUCCUCUUUGGGAGUGCCUGGCUGACUGCCAUGAGCUCAGAGGACUAGUUUAGUCCCUAGGUCCAGGACCCACAGUGCUAGGGAAAGGAGUUCUGCUUGGGUAAAUAUCUGGAGUCUGGCCAGGAAAAAUGAUUGUCUACAAAAAAAAAAAAAAAAAAAAAGGACAGUCAUAGCAAAAUUAAUAAACAUGUAUUAAAUGGUCACAAAA